UACGUAGGGGGCAAGCGUUGUCCGGAUUCAUUGGGCGUAAAGAGCGUGUAGGCGGUCAGGUAGGUCGGUUGUGAAAACUGGAGGCUCAACCUUCAGAGGUCGACCGAAACCAUCUGGCUAGAGUCCGGGAGAGGAGAGUGGAAUUCCUGGUGUAGCGGUGAAAUGCGCAGAGAUCUGGAAGAACACCAAAGGCGAAGGCAGCGUCCUGGAUCGUUACUGACGCUCAUGUGCGAAAGCCAGGGGAGCGAACGGG
rnacentral:rRNA from 1 species